rnacentral:rRNA from 1 species
GUUGUAUGGUUAAGUGACUAAGCGUACACGGUGGAUGCCUUGGCAGUCAGAGGCGAUGAAAGACGUAGUAACUUGCGAUAAGCCCAGAUUAGGUAGUAACAACCAUUUGAGUCUGGGAUUUCUGAAUGGGGAAACCCACGUGCAUAAGCACGUAUCCUUACCUGAAUACAUAGGGUAAGGAGGCGAACCGGGGGAACUGAAACAUCUAAGUACCCCGAGGAAAAGAAAUCAACCGAGAUUCCGAAAGUAGCGGCGAGCGAAAUUGGACUAGCCCUUAAGCUUUACACGCGUUAGACGAACGGUCUGGAAAGUCCGACGAUACAGGGUGAUAGUCCCGUAGUUGACGACGUGUGUUCAGUGAAAUCGAGUAGGGCGGGACACGUGAUAUCCUGUCUGAAUAUGGGGGGACCAUCCUCCAAGGCUAAAUACUACUGACUGACCGAUAGUGAACCAGUACCGUGAGGGAAAGGCGAAAAGAACCCCUGUGAGGGGAGUGAAAUAGAACCUGAAACCGUGUACGUACAAGCAGUAGGAGCAGGCUUUGUCCUGUGACUGCGUACCUUUUGUAUAAUGGGUCAGCGACUUAUAUUCAGUGGCAAGGUUAACCAUCUAGGGGAGCCGUAGGGAAACCGAGUCUUAACUGGGCGUUCAGUCUCUGGAUAUAGACCCGAAACCAGGUGAUCUAGCCAUGGGCAGGUUGAAGGUUGAGUAACAUCAACUGGAGGACCGAACCGACUAAUGUUGAAAAAUUAGCGGAUGACUUGUGGCUAGGGGUGAAAGGCCAAUCAAACCUGGAGAUAGCUGGUUCUCCCCGAAAGCUAUUUAGGUAGCGCCUCGGACGAAUACUACUGGGGGUAGAGCACUGUUAAGGCUAGGGGGUCAUCCCGACUUACCAACCCUUUGCAAACUCCGAAUACCAGUAAGUACUAUCCGGGAGACACACGGCGGGUGCUAACGUCCGUCGUGGAGAGGGAAACAACCCAGACCGCCAGCUAAGGUCCCAAAUUACUACUAAGUGGGAAACGAUGUGGGAAGGCUCAGACAGCCAGGAUGUUGGCUUAGAAGCAGCCAUCAUUUAAAGAAAGCGUAAUAGCUCACUGGUCGAGUCGGCCUGCGCGGAAGAUGUAACGGGGCUAAGUAGUAAACCGAAGCUGCGGCAAUACUCUUUGAGUAUUGGGUAGGGGAGCGUUCUGUAAGCGGUUGAAGGUGUGUGGUAACGCAUGCUGGACGUAUCAGAAGUGCGAAUGCUGACAUGAGUAACGAUAAAGGGGGUGAAAAACCUCCUCGCCGGAAGACCAAGGGUUCCUGUCCAACGUUAAUCGGGGCAGGGUAAGUCGACCCCUAAGGCGAGGCCGAAAGGCGUAGUCGAUGGGAAACGGGUUAAUAUUCCCGUACUUCUUACAAUUGCGAUGGGGGGACGGAGAAGGCUAGGUGGGCCUGGCGACGGUUGUC